AUACCUGAGUAAAGUGGCGCACGGGUGAGUAACACGUGACUAACCUACCCUGGAGUGGGGGAUAACUGAGGGAAACCUUAGCUAAUACCGCAUAAUACUUACGGGUCAAAGGAGCAAUUCGCUUCAGGAGGGGGUCGCGGCCGAUUAGUUAGUUGGCGGGGUAAUGGCCCACCAAGACAGUGAUCGGUAUCCGGCCUGAGAGGGCGCACGGACACACUGGAACUGAAACACGGUCCAGACUCCUACGGGAGGCAGCAGUGGGGAAUUUUGCGCAAUGGGGGAAACCCUGACGCAGCAACGCCGCGUGGAGGAUGAAGUCCUUCGGGACGUAAACUCCUUUCGAUCGGGACGAUUAUGACGGUACCGGAAGAAGAAGCCCCGGCUAACUUCGUGCCAGCAGCCGCGGUAAUACGAGGGGGGCGAGCGUUGUUCGGAAUUAUUGGGCGUAAAGGGUGCGUAGGCGGUUUUGUAAGUCUUAUGUGAAAUCUAUGGGCUCAACUCAUAGACUGCAUGAGAAACUGCAGGGCUUGAGUAUGGGAGAGGUGAGUGGAAUUCCUGGUGUAGCGGUGAAAUGCGUAGAUAUCAGGAGGAACACCUGUGGCGAAAGCGGCUCACUGGACCAUAACUGACGCUGAUG
rnacentral:rRNA from 1 species